UAUGCUGCAGGUGCGGCCCUAAAAAGAAAAAAAAAAGAUAAAAUAUGUAUAUUAUAGUUCAGACUUGGAAAUAAACCGUGUUGCUUUCUCCAGACUUCCACCCUAUCACUGCUAAGAAAUACUCCUGUGAUGUCUCAGUACUUCUCAAAGGAAAUAAACUCUUAAGCACAGGGAGCUUACAUGGAAGAAUUGUGCUCCUUACAUCCUGUCACAGAGUGCUGGCCAUGAUGGGGCGGGGACUCUCUAAUACUUUCUGGAGCUCCCGUCUUCUCUACAUAAGUGCUUUCUGGCCAGUUUCAAACAUAAUGGACCAGAAAAUGAAAUGCCAACUGUUGAACCUCUUAGCUUGCCCCUGGGAAAAUAGGACAUCAGACAGUUAGUACUUUAUAUUGAUCUAGAGCUUUAUGCUUUUUCAAGCGCUUUAAUGCACUUUCUCUUAGAUGAUUCUCACACCCACCCUGGGGAGUUGUCAGGACACCGAUUAUUAUCUUGCAUAGAUGUGGCAACAGAACUCUGGAGAGAAAUUACUUCUUGAGGGUCAGACAUCUAGUUAAUGGUAAAGUGGCUCUAGAACCCGUAUCUUCUGACCCUUGCUUCUACUCGUAGGCUUUUCUUACUACCUAUGGGGCUAGUACUCAUACAGAAGCAUCCUUCAUGAGAUCCAGUGGGAUCAUGCUUGGAAAUCUCAAGCUCUCUUUGGCAUCCUGCCACAUGCCAUGCCCCAUCAGGAGCCUCAGGGAGCCUGACCUCCUGUCCUCAUCCAAACCCCAGUGUCUGCCUCUCGCUCCCCUGCCAGGCCUCCUGAGCCUUGGUCUGGGCUCACCAGUACCCACUGAACAAAGGCUCCUUGUGCCCUCUCUGCCAUCUCCCGUUAAAUUGCAACUCAAAGCUUCACUCCUGCAAGAGCUUCGCUAGAAUGACCGAAGGCAAAAUGAGGAGUUGGGGGACAUUUUUUUUCCUUGUGUAUUACAACUGUUAUUUUUUUUCCUAGGUGGUCAAGAGAGCUGGCUUAUUCUCAGCUCUCAGUUCUCAGCUCAAAUAUCGCCUCUUCAAAGAGACCUUCCCUGAGCAACCAAUUUAGAGCAGGCUCCUUCGUGACUCCAUCUCACAGCACCCCAUACUGUUCUCUCAUGCCACAAACUACCCUGAUGGAUUCCCCCUCUUUGCUUAUUUUUAGGCUCCCCACUGGAAGGAAGUCCACUGGUGUUGGGGACUCUGUCUUCUUUACUACUGCAGUCCCAGAGCCCAGUCCUAAAGCCUGGCGAAGAGCAGGUGUAUCAUAGAUUUUUGUAGGAGAAAGGAAUUGAAUAUCCAAAGACAGGUGAUGGAAGACCUGAGCUACCAAACGGCGCAAUGAGGCAACUCAGUGAUCAGCGAUUACAGGAAGCCCUUCUUAUCUGCAGAGUUGAAGGGGCAACCAGAAGAGCAGACAGUCAACAAACAUAUGGCACUUGCUAGCUCAAGAAGGAGCACAAAGUGAAGAUACCAAGAUUCAAGAAGGCUUGAUAUUAACUGUUUGGAAGACAAAUCCCCACCAGCUGGUUAAGGGGGGGGGGAUUUGUGUGUGUUGGGAGCCAUCCAUAGAGAUUGUAAAGCUACAAGGGGCUCAGGAGAAUAGAGAUGGGAACUAUAGUCCUUACAAUACUUGCUGUUAAGUCUCAUCUUUGGGAUGAGGCAUUCAUCUUUCAAAAGUAGAAGCAGUAUGAGGAAGGUUUGCCCGUCUAGACUUCAUUCUGACCAGUGAAGAACUGGAGGAUGUUCACUCCUCCAGAAAAGAAAGGCUUCUUAGGAGAAAGCAGAGCCAUCAUCCUGUCCUUCACAAGAUGUGCCAAUAAAGGAGCAAAGACAUGUGCCGUGGAGCAAAGACAUGACCAUCUCUUUGGUGCUCUCUACCCAUUUUGCAUGUCCCUGGACCUGUGUUUUCUCAUUUCAGCCUGCUUUUGCCAAGCUUCUAACUCUGAUUGGAAAGCUCCCAACCUUUAGCUUCCACUUCU